GACAGAGGGUGCAAACGUUGUUCGGAAUUACUGGCGUAAAGCGAGUGUAGGCGGUCCGAUAAGUCGGGUGUGAAAGCCCUGGGCUCAACCCAGGAAGUGCACUCGAAACUGCCGGGCUAGAGUAUCGGAGAGGUUGGUGGAAUUCCCGGUGUAGCGGUGAAAUGCGCAGAUAUCGGGAGGAACACCGGUGGCGAAGGCGGUUCUCUGGGCCUGACCUGACGCUGAGGAGCGAAAGUGUGGGGAGGCGAACAGG
rnacentral:rRNA from 1 species